UUGAAAUCGUUUUCUGUGUGC
ensembl:piRNA 21ur-2999 ncRNA